GAUGAACGCUGGCGGCGUGCCUAAUACAUGCAAGUCGAGCGAACGGACGAGAAGCUUGCUUCUCUGAUGUUAGCGGCGGACGGGUGAGUAACACGUGGAUAACCUACCUAUAAGACUGGGAUAACUUCGGGAAACCGUAGCUAAUACCGGAUAAUAUUUUGAACCGCAUGGUUCAAAAGUGAAAGACGGUCUUGCUGUCACUUAUAGAUGGAUCCGCGCUGCAUUAGCUAGUUGGUAAGGUAACGGCUUACCAAGGCAACGAUGCAUAGCCGACCUGAGAGGGUGAUCGGCCACACUGGAACUGAGACACGGUCCAGACUCCUACGGGAGGCAGCAGUAGGGAAUCUUCCGCAAUGGGCGAAAGCCUGACGGAGCAACGCCGCGUGAGUGAUGAAGGUCUUCGGAUCGUAAAACUCUGUUUUUAGGGAAGAACAUAUGUGUAAGUAACUGUGCACAUCUUGACGGUACCUAAUCAGAAAGCCACGGCUAACUACGUG
rnacentral:rRNA from 1 species